rnacentral:rRNA from 1 species
GUAAUCUAAAAUACCAUUAACUAAAUAUUCACGAAACCAGGCGAACUAGGUUGUAUAUAAUUUUUAGUUAAAUAUUACUGGCGUAGUAUAGCCAUAUUGUUAAUAUAAUUUAGGGGUGAAAGGCCAUUCAGGUCUGGGGAUAUCUUGAUUUUAAGGAAAUAUAUGUAGUAUACAGUUCAUUCUGAAAAUGGUGAGGUUUUCAGAAAAUAUUAUUGAAGAUAAAAAAAUUUAUUAGUAUUUUUAACCAAAUCUAAAUGCAUUUGUCUAAUAUUUUUAACUAUAUGUAUAUAUAUAUUACUUAAAUAUUUUGCUCUAUACUUUUCAAUUAAAUAAAUGAUUACAUCAGUACUACAUAAAUUUUAUAUAAGGAACUCGGCAAAUAUUUUCCUCGACUGUUUAUCAAAAACAUAGCCUUAAGAUAAUUAUUUAAGGUUUAACCUGCUCAAUGAUUUUUUGAAUAGCCGCAGUACUUUGACUGUGCAAAGGUAGCAUAAUCAGUUGGCUUAUAAUUGAAGUCUGGAAUGAAUGGGAAAUAGGGGAAAAGCUGUCUCGUUUAAAUUUUUGGAAAUUACUUAAUAAGUGAAAAUUCUUAUCUUAAGAAAAAAGACGAGAAGACCCUAGAAAUUUUUUCUAUUUUAAUCAAAUGAUUUUGUUGGGGCGACAAGGUAACACAAAACUUACCUAGGUUUUUAAGAAUCAAAUGUGAGGAGUAAAUAAAUUACUCUAGGGAUAACAGCAUAAUAUUAUUAAAGUUUGUGACCUCGAUGUUGGACUAGGAAAUCUAAUACUUAAAAGGUAUUUGGUCCAGCUCUGUUCGAGCUAUUAUCUCCUACAUGAUCUGAGUUCAGACCGG